UCGAUGCCUCAAUCCAGAGAGACCCGCGGACACGUUUCAACACCCGGGGCAGGCGAAGCUGCCCAGCAGCUCGCCUCCCCGAAAAGUCGGGACGGAGCCGCGACCCGCGGCCUCCAGUCCCGGCGCAACAACCAACAAACCCCGGCGCGGAACGCGCCAAGGAAUCAACAAUCGCAGAGCGCGCCCCGUCGACCCGGAAACGGUGCUCGCACGGGCGACGUCGCAAACUCGAGUCCAAAACGACUCUCGGCAACGGAUAUCUCGGCUCUUGCAUCGAUGAAGAACGUAGCGAAAUGCGAUACUUGGUGUGAAUUGCAGAAUCCCGUGAACCAUCGAGUCUUUGAACGCAAGUUGCGCCCGAAGCCACUAGGCCAAGGGCACGCCUGCCUGGGUGUCACCAAUCGCCGCCCCAACCCCUGUGCCUCCGGCCACGGAGAGGGGCGAAUGCUGGCCUCCCGUGAGCACCGUYUCGCGGCUGGCUGAAAAUCGGGUUCGUGGUGGAUGCAGCGCCAUGACAUACGGUGGUUGAGCGUGUUCUCGAGGCCAGUCAUGCGGGCGGCCUCCACCGGCUCCGUACCCAGCGACCCGCGAGCGAUGUCGAUCGCCCACGA
rnacentral:misc_RNA from 1 species